rnacentral:rRNA from 1 species
UACGUAGGGGGCAAGCGUUGUCCGGAUUUAUUGGGCGUAAAGCGCGUGUAGGUGGCCAAGUAGGUCCGCUGUGAAAACUUGAGGCUCAACCUCAAGCUGUCGGUGGAAACCCCUUGGCUAGAGUCCGGAAGAGGAGAGUGGAAUUCCUGGUGUAGCGGUGAAAUGACGCAGAUAUCAGGAAGAACACCAAUGGCGAAGGCAGCUCUCUGGGACGGUACUGACACUGAGACGCGAAAGCGUGGGGAGCGAACAGG